rnacentral:rRNA from 1 species
UACGAAGGGGGCGAGCGUUGUUCGGAAUUACUGGGCGUAAAGGGCGCGCAGGCGGCCUCUUGAAGUCAGAUGUGAAAUCCCCGGGCUCAACCUGGGAACUGCAUUUGUGACUGUAGAGCUGGAGUGCGGCAGAGGGGGAUGGAAUUCCGCGUGUAGCAGUGAAAUGCGUAGAUAUGCGGAGGAACACCGAUGGCGAAGGCAAUCCCCUGGGCCUGCACUGACGCUCAUGCACGAAAGCGUGGGGAGCAAACAGG